rnacentral:lncRNA from 1 species
UUUUCCAUUCCUAUUUUAAUCAUGAACCAAACAUGCCCUCAGUGAAACUAACGAUACAAUGAAUUGACUAUCACUCCAUGCACCAGUAUCCUACCCUGUGGCGAGAGGUCGGAUUGGGACGAAUCAUGUUCGAAAUGGUGGGAGGUCGAGUUGAACCGAGUUAUGUUCGAAGCAGCAAGGGGCCGGUUGGGCUGAGUCACAAUCGAGACCUGUGAACGUUGUAUCUGUACACUUUAUGAACUGGUUGUAUCUUUCUAAUAUCUUUCCAAGAUGUAAUAACGCAAAUAACAGUAAUAAUAUAUUAAUAAUAAUAGUACUAACUUUAAGGCAAAUUUGUUCGAUUAGGGCUAAUAAUAAAAGGCUUCAAUAGUUUUAAAGAAUUAACCCUAUUCCUGAGAGAAACAAUUAAUGGACUAAAUUAAAAUAUAAGAUUAGAGAGAGUAACAUGAGAUUUAGGGCUCUAAUGCAUCUCAUGCAAAAAGAGAGUGAUAAAAAAAAUCCCAAUAAUGAUCCAACUUUGAAUAAAGAGAGAGAGAGAGAGAGAUUUGAAUGGGGGCUUAUCCACUGAAAAAAAACCCUAAUAUACUGUAGACUUAUCCACUAACCCUAUACUACUACACCCCAUUUUAUAUCCCCAAAAAGAGAAAACAAGAAAAAAAGGGUAGUUAUAGAAUGUAACCAGUACAACUUAUCUUUUAUAACUUUCUCUACUUCUAUAUUCUAAUGUCAAUGUGGUAAAAUUAAUUUUCUCAUAGUAGUUCUUAUAUAAUACAAGAAAAAAACAAAACAAAACUUGUAAAAGCAAAAUUUAAGAGGUUCUUUAAUUAAAUUGUUAUUAACAUCCUCCAAAGAAGAUGUAGUAACAUCUCAAUAAUGAAUGUGUACUUCUUAUAUAUAUGUAGGGAAAGGAAAAAGUUAAAUCCUCAAAACAAACUUUUCAAUGAAGAUGAGGUUAAAUAGAGGGGGAAAAAAAAAAUAGCAACACAGGGGAAACAACAGCAUAUGCAUGCACUAUAUGCAUUUUGUAGUACCAUGCAUAUGGAAGUAUCUUGGCUAAAUAUACAAAAGAAUGGCACUUUAUGAACACUAAUAAUAAAAAAAGGAGGACACUACUUACCAAAAGGACAUGGUAUUAUAAAGUAACCUAAAGUGCAUUCAAAAAAUGAAACUACUAACCCUUAAUAUAUCUAUACUACAUAUACAAUGGUGACAAAAGCAAGGGCACCAAGAAGAAGAAUAAUAAGAUGAUGAGCAUAUCUUAUGAACAUGUUUGUUGAUGGUCAUCUAACCAAUAACCUAUGCAUCUCCUCAACCUGCAAAAAUAAAGAAAUUAAUAUACUCAAGCAAGGGGAUAUACAUGCAUGGUUAGAUGACUAUCAACAAAACACAUGCAAAAGCUGCUUUGUUCUUCUUUUU